rnacentral:rRNA from 1 species
AUUGAACGCUGGCGGCAUGCUUUACACAUGCAAGUCGAACGGUAACAGGGAGCUUGCUCCGCUGACGAGUGGCGAACGGGUGAGUAAUGCAUCGGAACGUGCCUAUUUGUGGGGGAUAACGUAGCGAAAGUUACGCUAAUACCGCAUACGCCCUGAGGGGGAAAGCGGGGGAUUCGUAAGAACCUCGCGCAAUUAGAGCGGCCGAUGUCGGAUUAGCUAGUUGGUGGGGUAAAGGCUCACCAAGGCGACGAUCAGUAGCUGGUCUGAGAGGACGAUCAGCCACACUGGGACUGAGACACGGCCCAGACUCCUACGGGAGGCAGCAGUGGGGAAUUUUGGACAAUGGGGGAAACCCUGACCCAGCAAUGCCGCGUGAGUGAAGAAGGCCUUCGGGUUGUAAAGCUCUUUUGUCAGGGAAGAAACACCGGCUCUAACACAGUCCGGGAAUGACGGUACCUGAAGAAUAAGCACCGGCUAACUACGUG